GAUGAACGCUAGCUACAGGCUUAACACAUGCAAGUCGAGGGGUAACGAGAGGAAAGCUUGCUUUCCUUGUCGACGGCCGGCGCACGGGUGAGUAACGCGUAUCCAACCUGCCCCCAACUAGGGAAUAACCUUGCGAAAGUAAGACUACUACCCUAUAAUUUCCUCAGAUGACAUCUGACGAGGAAUAAAGAUUUAUCGGUUGUGGAUGGGGAUGCGUGUGAUUAGCUUGUUGGCGGGGUAACGGCCCACCAAGGCAACGAUCAGUAGGGGUUCUGAGAGGAAGGUCCCCCACAUUGGAACUGAGACACGGUCCAAACUCCUACGGGAGGCAGCAGUGAGGAAUAUUGGUCAAUGGGCGGAAGCCUGAACCAGCCAAGUAGCAUGCAGGAUGACGGCCCUAUGGGUUGUAAACUGCUUUUAUACAGGAAUAAAGUUAGCCACGUGUGGUUAUUUGUAGGUACUGUAUGAAUAAGGACCGGCUAAUUCUGUGCCAGCCGCCGCGGUAA
rnacentral:rRNA from 1 species